rnacentral:misc_RNA from 1 species
AACGCACAUUGCGCCCUUUGGCAUUCCGAAGGGCAUGCCUGUUCGAGCGUCAUUAUCACCCCUCAAGCCCCCGGCUUGGUGUUGGAUGGUCGGUGGGACCCCUCGGGUUCCACCCCUCCCAAAGACAAUGACGGCGGCCUCGUUGGACCCCCGGUACACUGAGUUCUUCACCGAACACGUACUGGAAUAAGGGCCCGCGGGGCACGGUCUGCCUCCCCUCAGGGAGAAUUUUUAAUAAGGUUGACCUCGGAUCAGAUAGGGAUACCCGCUGAACUUAA